AGCUCCAAUAGCGUAUAUUAAAGUUGUUGCAGUUAAAAAGCUCGUAGUUGGAUUUGUGGCGUACGGUGGGUUCCGGGCACUUGUUGUCUGAGUAAUCCGCUGUUGCCAUCCUUGGGUGGAACCUGUGUGGCAUUAGGUUGUCGUGCAGGGGAUGCCCAUCAUUUACUGUGAAAAAAUUAGAGUGUUCAAAGCAGGCUUAGGCCGUUGGAUACAUUAGCAUGGAAUAAUGAGAUAGGGCCACGGCGGUCUAUUUUGUUGGUUUGCACGUUGUGGUAAUGAUUAACAGGAACGGUUGGGGGUAUUCGUAUUCAAUUGUCAGAGGUGAAAUUCUUGGAUUUGUGGAAGACGAACUACUGCGAAAGCAUUUACCAAGGAUGUUUUCAUUAAUCAAGAACGAAAG
rnacentral:rRNA from 1 species